UCUCCUCAGGCUCCUCCCCUUCUACAGCCUCCUCCUCCUCCUCAGGCUCCUCCUCCACUACAGCCUCCUCCACCACAGCCUCCUCCUCCUCCUCCUCAGGCUCCUCCUCCUCAGGCUCCUCCUCCUCAGGCUCCACCUCCACUACAGCCUCCUCCUCCUCAGCCUCCUCCUCCCACGGGGCGGGAACACUCUAGAGCUGGAGCAGAUCCUCUGUCAACCUGAAGGUCUCUGGUUCGAACCCCGGCUCCUCCUAUCUGAGUAAGGAGAUGCCCCUGAGCAAGGCAGCUCACCCUCACUGCUCCCGACCGGCUGGCUGUUACCCUGCGUGGCCGACACCAUUGUCGCUGUGCAUGCCUGUGUUAAUGUAUUUAUGAAUGGGUGAAUCAGUGUGGAGCGGCCAUAGGGCAGAAGAACGCUUACUAAAUGCAGUCCAUAAAGCACGUUCCAGAUCAGGUCCUGGACCAGGUCUGUAGAAAGGUCUCAGGAAGGACACGGUGGUGCAGGAUGAAGACCUAGAGGGUUCCGAUCUGAUGAACCACGGAGACAGAAGAGGGCGAGGUCAGCAGACUGUCAAAGCUCUUUAAUCAGAUCACAGAAAACAGGAGAUUGAAGCAUUUCAAAGUGACAUUUGACAUAAUCAAAAUAUAUCGGUUGGGCAGGCGGGGCUGCCCCGUAAAGGUGGUGCUGAUGGUGUUACUGUACCAUACACAGGUGGAGCUCUGACAGAAAGGCUUUUUAAAAGGUUCAUUGGUCAAGUAAUCAGGAAGAGCUCCCCCUCGCUGCAGGUCGACAUUAAGAGCUUUUCUCAAACAGCUGCUGACCAAACGGAAAGUUCAAACUAAAAUAAAGUCCAACAUCAUGGCUCCAACAAGGCGUGUCAACGACGCCUCACUCUGAUAGGUCCUUUAUACAAACACACACACACACACACACACACACACACACACACACACACACACCCCUCAGCACCCACCCCCCUUAGCCUCGCAGCAACCAAUCACAGACGACAAGCGCGUGUUCCUCCAGUGAGUCCAACUGACAGAAGACGGACCAGGUGGUCCGGGUCUCUUUGACCUCUGACCUCUCGCUCCCGACCACUCAACACACUUAUUUACAUACACACAUUUAAAACACACAACCUAUCUCUCUUAAUAUUUUAGUUACACACAACUACGACACGCAGAGCCCGGGAGUUCUAGAGGCUGUGAUUCGCUGCUCCGUCCGGCCUUAAAUAAACAUGGUUGUAUGGUUAGAGCGUCAGCCCAAUAAAAGAACAAACACACACACACACAAACACUGGGCCCCUGGCGGUGUGUAUGUGUGUGGAGUAGGGCUUUGACUUUUGCCCAAAAAUCGUAUUCGAAGUUUGUUUGUUUAUUAAUAUUAAAAUAUAUUCGACAUUUAUUAUUGAUAUUUUGACCAUUAAAUCCCUUCAGUAAGACCUGGAUUGGGCUUCGCGAGGUUUGUUUACUGGUGCUGCUAUGGUUACCGGUCUUGCGCGUUCCAACGGUUAUUAGGUUUCUAAUAAAUCGCUGUCUAAUCAAUACUUCAUUCACUGCCUCUUCCGUAGUCAUUACAAUAUUAUGAAUAGACUGCGUCGGGUUCUCCGACAUCUCUCCCUCUUGGCCUGCCCAUAACAGGUUCGAAUAUUAAGGGCUGCCUAAUAUUCAUUCGAAUUUUGAUUUAUUUUCUGAU
ensembl:lncRNA